UUCUGACGUGCAAAUCGAUAAUCUGAUCUGGGUAUAGGGGCGAAAGACUAAUCGAACCAUCUAGUAGCUGGUUCCUUCCGAAGUUUCCCUCAGGAUAGCAAGCGUACAUUUUUAGUUUCAUCCCGUAAAGCGAAUGAUUAGAGGCCUUGGGGCGUAUAUAGCCUCAACCUAUUCUCAAACUUUUAAUGGGUGUGAGUGUUCUUUCUCAAUUGAAGAACGUUGCUAAAUAAGUAUGCUUAGUGGGCCAUUUUUGGUAAGCAGAACUGGCGCUGUGGGUUGUACCAAUUGUUGAGUUAAAGUGCCUAAAGCUGGAAUGCGCAUGAGAUCUAUAAAGGGUGUUAGUUGCUGAAGACAGCAGGACGGUGGCCAUGGAAGUCGGAAUCCGCUAAGGAGUGUGUAACAACUCACCUGCC
rnacentral:rRNA from 1 species